CGCUCUUGCCAACUAAACAUAGGAGGUCCCGCCUGCCCUGUGACUAUGGGUUUAACGGCCGCGGUAUUUUAACCGUGCGAAGGUAGCGCAAUCACUUGUCUUUUAAAUGAAGACCUGUAUGAAUGGCAUCACGAGGGCUUAGCUGUCUCCUUUUUCAAGUCAAUGAAAUUGAUCUGCCCGUGCAGAAGCGGACAUAAAUACAUAAGACGAGAAGACCCUAUGGAGCUUUAGACACUAGGCAGACCCUGUUAAGUAACCCUAUAUUAACGGGUAAAACAAAGCGGCCCCUGGCCCACAUGUCUUCGGUUGGGGCGACCAUGGGGGAAAAUAAAGCCCCCACGAGGACUGAGGAUAAUACCCUUAUAAGCAUGAGCUACAGCUCUAAGCAUCAGAACUUCUGACCAAAAUGAUCCGACAUAGUCGAUCAACGAACCAAGUUACCCUAGGGAUAACAGCGCAAUCCUCUCCCAGAGUCCCUAUCGACGAGGGGGUUUACGACCUCGAUGUUGGAUCAGGACAUCCUAAUGGUGCAGCCGCUAUUAAGGGUUCGUUUGUUCAACGAUUA
rnacentral:rRNA from 1 species